AAUUCAGGUCGGCUUAUCGCGCCCCGCCUUUGGGCGGAGCGAGGAAAGUCCGGGCAGCACAGAGCACUCUACUUCCUAACGGGAAGGCAACCGGCUGGGAACGGCCGGUUGACAGAUAGGGCAACAGAAAAUAUACCGCCAAUUCAGUGAACAUUAAGCAGUCAUCAGUGAACAGUUUAGCGCAACUUCGCCUGACUGAUAACUGGUAACUGCUUACUGUUCACUGAGUAGGUAAGGGCGAACCGGUGGGGUAAGAGCCUACCGCCCAGUGGGCGACCAGUGGGGCACGGCAACCCUUAGGGGCUGAAAGACCAAAUAAGCGUCGGACGCGCGGCUGCUCGUCGCCAGCGUUCCGAAAGGAACAACACCGACGCGGGUAGGUCGAACGAGGUGUUCGGGUGACCGGCAUCCCAGAUAAAUGAUAAGCCAUUCUGCCGGGCGGCUCAGGCCAAACGGCGGGAGGACAGAACCCGGCUUACAGGUCUGGAUUGGAU
rnacentral:RNase_P_RNA from 1 species